rnacentral:rRNA from 1 species
GAUGAACGCUGGCGGCGUGCCUAAUACAUGCAAGUCGAGCGAACAGAUGAGGAGCUUGCUCCUCUGACGUUAGCGGCGGACGGGUGAGUAACACGUGGAUAACCUACCUAUAAGACUGGGAUAACUUCGGGAAACCGGAGCUAAUAUCGGAUAAUAUAUUGAACCGCAUGGUUCAAUAGUGAAAGACGGUUUUGCUGUCACUUAUAGAUGGAUCCGCGCUGCAUUAGCUAGUUGGUAAGGUAACGGCUUACCAAGGCAACGAUGCGUAGCCGACCUGAGAGGGUGAUCGGCCACACUGGAACUGAGACACGGUCCAGACUCCUACGGGAGGCAGCAGUAGGGAAUCUUCCGCAAUGGGCGAAAGCUUGACGGAGCAACGCCGCGUGAGUGAUGAAGGUCUUCGGAUCGUAAAACUCUGUUAUUAGGGAAGAACAAAUGUGUAAGUAACUAUGCACGUCUUGACGGUACCUAAUCAGAAAGCCACGGCUAACUACGUG